AUUGAACGCUGGCGGCAGGCCUAACACAUGCAAGUCGAGCGGAUGAAGGGAGCUUGCUCCUGGAUUCAGCGGCGGACGGGUGAGUAAUGCCUAGGAAUCUGCCUGGUAGUGGGGGAUAACGUCCGGAAACGGGCGCUAAUACCGCAUACGUCCUGAGGGAGAAAGUGGGGGAUCUUCGGACCUCACGCUAUCAGAUGAGCCUAGGUCGGAUUAGCUAGUUGGUGGGGUAAAGGCUACCAAGGCGACGAUCCGUAACUGGUCUGAGAGGAUGAUCAGUCACACUGGAACUGAGACACGGUCCAGACUCCUACGGGAGGCAGCAGUGGGGAAUAUUGGACAAUGGGCGAAAGCCUGAUCCAGCCAUGCCGCGUGUGUGAAGAAGGUCUUCGGAUUGUAAAGCACUUUAAGUUGGGAGGAAGGGCAGUAAGUUAAUACCUUGCUGUUUUGACGUUACCAACAGAAUAAGCACCGGCUAACUUCGUG
rnacentral:rRNA from 1 species